GGGAAUUAGACAACAAAGAUGAGGUUUCAAAAAUGAGAAGGGACAAUGCUGGGCGUGACAUGUGAGUAGAUGGACAAAGAUAAGAAACAGCCAGAGGACCUUCACAAGAGCAGACCCAUCAACAUAAAUGACAAGGACGAGGGAUGGCAAGAAGGAUGCAGCUGUCCCAGAGGGAGCGUCAGUGACAAAAGCACUUCACUUUAAAGGGAUUCUUGGAGGUGGCUUCAUGACUUUGAAACUGCAAAGGAUAAAAUGCUGGAAGCUGACCCAAACUUAGAAAGGAAUAUGACAGUUCACCAAAGGCAUGAAAAAGACACUCACUGUGCCUGACUUCAUAAGUUACGUCACGACGAGGGAAAACGGUGCAGUGGUGUGGAGACCGACCGGUAAGAGCGCCAAAGAGAGCCCGCCUGCUGUCUAUUUCGGCUGACCUGUGCCUUCCAGAGUGCCAGACUUCUACUGGUUCUCAAUAAAUAUCUGCUCCCUGACUGAGGUUCACCCAAAGCUCCUACCAGAUUCAGAAAGAAAGUAUCCAUUGGCCAUUGUGUCACCCGGUAAACAGCAAUGGAGAUGCUGAAGGUAGCAUGCACAGUUCCACAUCUGGAGUUCAAGUCCUAAGAUCCCAUUAAAGCCGACAGAUACCUACAGCACGGGGCGCCCAGGGCUCAAGCUAAUGUUCUUUCAAAACACAUUUAUGAACAAUUCACUACUUCAGGAAGUGAUGGCUACCACUUCUACAGCAAUGUGCUUCCAAGCCCAUCAGAGUGUUUCUGGAACCUAAGCUUUAACAUAUCAGUACCUCUUCAAAGGGAGCUGUGAGAAA